rnacentral:rRNA from 1 species
GAUGAACGCUGGCGGCGUGCCUAAUACAUGCAAGUCGAGCGAACAGACGAGGAGCUUGCUCCUCUGACGUUAGCGGCGGACGGGUGAGUAACACGUGGAUAACCUACCUAUAAGACUGGGAUAACUUCGGGAAACCGGAGCUAAUACCGGAUAAUAUAUUGAACCGCAUGGUUCAAUAGUGAAAGACGGUUUUGCUGUCACUUAUAGAUGGAUCCGCGCCGCAUUAGCUAGUUGGUAAGGUAACGGCUUACCAAGGCAACGAUGCGUAGCCGACCUGAGAGGGGGAUCGGCCAAACUGGAACUGAGACACGGUCCAGACUCCUACGGGAGGCAGCAGUAGGGAAUCUUCCGCAAUGGGCGAAAGCCUGACGGAGCAACGCCGCGUGAGUGAUGAAGGUCUUCGGAUCGUAAAACUCUGUUAUUAGGGAAGAACAAAUGUGUAAGUAACUAUGCACGUCUUGACGGUACCUAAUCAGAAAGCCACGGCUAACUACGUG